AACGAACGCUGGCGGCGCGUCUUAAGCAUGCAAGUCGAACGGCAAGAGAGGAGCUUGCUUCUCUCCUAGAGUGGCGGACUGGUGAGGAACACGUGGGUAAUCUACCCUUAAGAUGGGGAUAGCUGCUAGAAAUAGCAGGUAAUACCGAAUACACUCGGCAUAUCACAAGAGGUGUUGAGGAAAGGAAGCUACGGCUUCGCUUGAGGAUGAGCUUGCGUCCCAUUAGCUAGUUGGUGAGGUAAAGGCCCACCAAGGCGACGAUGGGUAUCCGGCCUGAGAGGGUGAACGGACACAUUGGGACUGAGAUACGGCCCAAACUCCUACGGGAGGCAGCAGCUAAGAAUAUUCCGCAAUGGACGGAAGUCUGACGGAGCGACGCCGCGUGGAUGAAGAAGGCUGAAAAGUUGUAAAAUCCUUUUGUUGAUGAAGGAUAAGGGUGAGAGGGAAUGCUCAUCUGAUGACGGUAAUCGACGAAUAAGCCCCGGCUAAUUACGUG
rnacentral:rRNA from 1 species